rnacentral:rRNA from 1 species
GAUGAACGCUGGCGGCGUGCCUAAUACAUGCAAGUCGAGCGAACAGACGAGGAGCUUGCUCCUCUGACGUUAGCGGCGGACGGGUGAGUAACACGUGGAUAACCUAUCUAUAAGACUGGGAUAACUUCGGGACACCGGAGCUAAUACCGGAUAAUAUAUUGAACCGCAUGGUUCAGUAGUGAAUGACGGUUUUGCUGUUACUUAUAGAUGGUGCCGCGCCGCAUUAGCUAGUUGGUAAGGUAACGGCUUACUAAGGCAACGAUGCGUAGUCGACGCGAGAGGGUGAGCGUCCACACUGGAACUGGGACACGGUCCAGGCUCAGACGGGAGGCAGCAGUAGGGAAUCUGAAGCAUAGGGCGAAAGCCUGACGGUGAAGCGGCGAGUGAGUGAUGAAGGUCUUCGGAUCGUAAAUCUCUGUUAUUAGGGAAGGACAAAUGUGUAAGUAGCUAUGCACGUCUUGACGGUACCUAAACAGAAAGCCACGGCUAACUACGUG